rnacentral:pre_miRNA from 1 species
UUACUACUCUCUCCGUUUCAUAAUUCUUGUCGAAAUAUUACAUGUAUUUAGACGCUUUUUAAGAAUAGAUACAUCCAUUUUUGGACAAAUUUGAGACAAGAAUUAUGGAACGGAGGGAGUAUUAU